CAGUCAUUUUAAAAAUUAUUUUUUUGAAACCCAAAUGGGGGGAAGUGAUGGUCUAGUGGUUAAGCGUUGGGCUUGAGACCAGAAGAUCCUCAGUUCAAAUCCCAGCCUGAACGGAAAAUCACUAAGGGCCCUUGUUCAAGGUGCUUAAUCCCUAGUUGUUUCCAGUGUGUA